rnacentral:lncRNA from 1 species
GGGCAGCGUUCUGGGAGGUCACCUACGACGUGUGUGCCCUCUCUUUACACCUGAAUCCCCUGUUGAACCUCAUGAUCCAGACAACAGAGGGAGAACUCAGAAGUUGUCCAGAAAGGAGCCAUUUUUCCAAGAGACACAUGAUUUUGUGCGGGUUGAGUUCCUAGUUUUAGUGCCAGAAAAACAAAAAUUUUUAAAGGUGAAGACUCACCUUGCUGACGUGAGAUUUUCCUUGUACUAAAAGUCCUGAUCUUCAUUCUUUUAUGGUUUGGCAGGGCUGAUCUUACCGUUAGAGGAAAGAGUGUCUCAUGGUUGCAGGAGCUGAGCCAAAAACUCCACUGACCAAACCCAACACUGCUCUUCCCCAGGCACGAUGCCUGCAUUCCACGUUUGCAGAGAGUUCUCACUGUGGGUUCCACUGAUGAGUCUAGGAGCGCCCUGUUGAAAUUCAAAGUUAUCAAGUGGGGUGGGCGUGGGGAAGGAAGAGGGCAUCAAACAAUUCUCAGACAUCACUACUUGAGACAUUAGGUUAACAGAUAAUAUCCUAGAAUUUAUCUGCCAGGGUUCUAAGGUGUUAACCUCAGAACCCGUAGCUUUACUGGGAUAGGGAGCACAGAGAGGAGUUACAGAAGGCUUGUGUCAGAGGAUGCAUCUUGAUCAGAUGACAUAUUCCAUCAGGGACACCAGAACCUUUGAGGACAUCAGAGUCAGAGCUGCAUUCCUUCUCUUCAUCCUCAGUAACUACUGAGCUUUACUUGGGGUUUAGUCCUGGUGAUUCAGAGGGAAUCAAGAGAGACCCAGUGCCUGCCUUGCCAGAGUUGGGAUCAGACACGCGGAGCAGCAAUUACAUCCCGAGGGAGAAGGAGGCUCUGCGUGUUGGGCCACCACUAUGCUGGCCAUGAAUACAGCUCUAAGCAGGAUUUCAAAGUGGGUCACACCAUACUAAUGGCUCCAGGUGUGGUAAAGAGAAACCUCAAGCACAGAAAUGCAGAAAUGGCACUUUAUGUACAUCAUUAGACAAGGCGAUAACACACCCCUUCAGCCAAGAGUCUUCAGAUGCUGGAUAGACCACAUGCAGCACUUGGCGGUGCCAC